UCUCUUAAUUCCUUAUUUUAUUAAAAGUAUCUUUCUUGGAGGAGAGAAAAGUAUUUUGAAAAGGGUAAACUUCAAAUAUCACUUAUGUGGUUUCGCACUUUCUCACUUUAGUACUAUAUGGUUUAAAGUAUAUCAAGUUAGUGUCCUGUGAUCUUAUUUUUAUCUUUUCGUCAGCUUUUCCGUUAAUAUUUCGUUAAAUUAUAUACCAAAAACUUUAGAUAUCCCCACCUAGGUUUAUCAAAUAUUCACUUUAGUAUCCUUUAGUUUUAACUUUGUCACUGAUUUAACGAAAAAUAAUUAGUGGAAUCGAUAAUAAAAAGAUAAAAAUAAAACCACAUGGUACUAAAUUAAUACACUUUUAAACUAAAUGAUACUAAAGUGAGAAAGUGUGAAACCACAUGGAUGGUAUUUGAAGUUUUUCCAAAAAUAUAUAUGUGCAAGUUUUCUGACUUAUGUAUUAUUUUGAACCAGCUAUCUAAUUUUUUAAAAUUUUAAUUUUUAUUUUAAUUGUUUUAUAUCCUUGAUUUGGAUCAGUCAAUAGUACUUUGAGUACAAAUUUAAAAUAAUUAUUUUUAAAUAUAUUUAUAGUUACGAGAAUUGCAUGAAGUAUAUUUGCUAAACCUGUAAAGUUAAACUCCGCAUUCAAAUUUUAAAAUUAAAGUAUUGUUGAUUGACUAAAAUCAAAUAAAUUAAU
rnacentral:lncRNA from 1 species